UGAGUUCCUCAUUGAGGAUACGUAGGAGCAAAAGCCCCGCUUUUGUCGACCACCCCAAGAGAUCGUUAAUGGUCCAAUGCCUUAACGUUUCUCUCCUUUCAAAAACAAGAGAUCGUUAAUGGUCCAACGCCUUAACGUUUUCUCAUCUUUCAAAAUCAAAAGACCGUUUAAUGGUCCAACACCUUAAAUGACCUUUUGUUCAAAUAAAAACAUAUUUUGCAAAAAAGACAAAAAACAAACUUAA
rnacentral:lncRNA from 1 species